rnacentral:miRNA from 1 species
CACCCACCUGCCUGUCCUCCAG